rnacentral:rRNA from 1 species
UGGCGACCGGCGCACGGGUGAGUAACACGUAUCCAACCUGCCGGAUAACUCGGGGAUAGCCUUUCGAAAGAAAGAUUAAUAUCCGAUAGGAUAUCAAGGUCGCAUGAUCUUGAUAUUAAAGAAUUUUGGUUAUCGAUGGGGAUGCGUUCCAUUAGUUAGUUGGCGGGGUAACGGCCCACCAAGACGACGAUGGAUAGGGGUUCGUGAGAGGAAGGUCCCCCACCAUUGGAACUGAGACACGGCCAAACUCCUACGGAAGGCAGCAG